rnacentral:rRNA from 1 species
GAUGACGCUGGCGGCGUGCCUAAUACAUGCAAGUCGAGCGAGUGGCGGACGGGUGAGUCAUGUCUGGGAAACUGCCUGAUGGAGGGGGAUAACUACUGGAAACGGUAGCUAAUACCGCAUACCAUCGGAUGUUCCCAGAUGGGAUUAGCUAGUUGGUGGGGUAACGGCUCCCCUGGGCGACGAUCCCUAGCUUGUCCGAGAGGAUGACCAGCCACACUGGAACUGGGAGACGGUCAAGAAUCCGACGGGAGGCAGAAGUGGGGAAUAUUGCACAAUGGACGCAAGCCUGAUGCAGCCAUGCCGCGGGUAUGAAGAAGGCCUUCGGGUUGUAAAGUACUUUCAGCGGGGAGGCGUUACCCGCAGAAGAAGCACCGGCUAACUCCGUGACAGCAGCCGCGGUAAUAC